rfam:Camelus ferus unplaced genomic scaffold scaffold826, whole genome shotgun sequence.
GAGUGUAUAGCCCAAGUGGUAGAGCACAUGCUUAGUGUGCAUGAGGUUCUGGGUUCAAUCCCCAGUACCUUCC